rnacentral:lncRNA from 1 species
CUACACUCGAUCCCUCCGAUGUCAACAACUACAGACCUAUCUGCUGCCUUUGAUACCGUGAACCAUCAGAUCCUCCUCUCCACCCUCUCCGAGCUGGGCAUCUCCGGCACCGCGCACGCUUGGAUUGCGUCCUACCUGACAGGUCGCUCCUACCAGGUGGCGAAUCGCAUCUCUGCAUGUCUGGCAGACAUAUCAGUGUGGAUGACGGAUCACCACCUCAAGCUGAACCUCGGCAAGACGGAGCUGCUCUUCCUCCCGGGGAAGGACUGCCCGUUCCAUGAUCUCGCCAUCACGGUUGACAACUCCCUUGUGUCCUCCUCCCAGAGUGCUAAGAGCCUUGGCGUGACCCUGGACAACACCCUGUCGUUCUCCACCAACAUCAAGGCGGUGACCCGAUCC